UACGAAGGGGCUAGCGUUGUUCGGAUUUACUGGGCGUAAAGCGCACGUAGGCGGAUCGUUAAGUCGGGGGUGAAAUCCUGGAGCUCAACUCCAGAACUGCCUUCGAUACUGGCGAUCUUGAGUCCGGAAGAGGUGAGUGGAACUCCUAGUGUAGAGGUGGAAUUCGUAGAUAUUAGGAAGAACACCAGUGGCGAAGGCGGCUCACUGGACCGGUACUGACGCUGAUGCGCGAAAGCGUGGGGGGAGCAAACGGG
rnacentral:rRNA from 1 species